UACGUAGGGGGCAAGCGUUGUCCGGAAUCAUUGGGCGUAAAGAGCGUGUAGGCGGCUCGAUAAGUCUGCUGUGAAAGUCCAGGGCUCAACCCUGGAAGGCCGGUGGAAACUGUCGGGAUAGAGUCCGGAAGAGGCGAGUGGAAUUCCCGGUGUAGCGGUGAAAUGCGCAGAUAUCGGGAGGAACACCAAUGGCGAAGGCAGCUCGCUGGGACGGUACUGACGCUGAGACGCGAAAGCGUGGGGAGCAAACAGG
rnacentral:rRNA from 1 species